rnacentral:sRNA from 1 species
UACGAAUAUAGAUGUUGAAGAGUGUCGC